AAUAAGUGCAAUUUUACACUAUUCACGUUUAACGUUUGACCGUUCAUCUUAUUUAAAAUUUUUUUAUGAUUAGUAUUUUUAUUGCCAUUAGAUGAUUAAAUAUGAAUAGUAUUUUAUGUGUGACUAAAUAUUUUUAAAUUUUUCAUAAAUUUUUUAAAUAAGACGGACGGACGGUCAAACGUUGGGCACGGAUAUCCACGGCUGCACUUAUU
rfam:Oryza glumipatula chromosome 4, whole genome shotgun sequence.